AUGCUCAUUUCUGGUUCUGCACAAAAGAGCCACAUUUCCUUUUGGAACCGGGACCAGGAGACAGACAGCAGCAGACAUUGGAAAUUGUUGUGAAGAUUUGAGACUGUGAACGCAAAGGCGGGGCCUAUAGAACGUGCUGGAUAAAGGUCUCUGGGCCAGUCUCUGGAGCCCCGAAAUAAAUGGGCAGAGGGGGCUGCCUGGUAUCGCGUCUUGGCCACCUACCAGCCGGACACCCCAGCACUCUCGCGGCCCUGCUGCCAGCAUGAGACGUGGCUGUGCCGGCCUGAGGAAGGACGAAGAACGCGCAGCCUGCUCGCCCGGUCAGCGCCGUGGAGCUCCUGCACACCCCGAGGGGACUGGAUCCGUGCUUGCUGGCUUCACCCUGGGUUUUCCUUGCUCUUGGUCUCUGCCUCCUGCAAGCCCUCAACUCUGCGCCUGGCCUGCCAAGCAGAGUGCCGCUCCUGGCCUUCUGGGAGGGAGGUCAGCUUUGCCUCUGGCCGCUUCGCAGACCCCUGUCUCCGCCGAGCCACCCACAACGAUUCCAGCGCACAGGAGCUCAGGAGUGUCACACAAAGUGAGAAGUAUAAGCCGCAGUGACCUUUUCUCCAGAGGAGGCCGGCAGACAAAGCCUGCAGCUCAGGAAACGAGACCCAAUGCUGUUUCCAGGCGGAGUCUCACGGGCCACGUUUGUCUGAGGUGUUCAGCCGAGGGGGAGUCCGGCGGGGGGGGGGGGGGGGGGGGCCGGGCAGCAAGGCUGGGGACGUGCGUGUGCGCUGGGUUGGGAAGAAUGUGAGGGCGUGGCUGUCGUGGUGAGACGGGGUGGUUAAGGGCUGUCGAAGGGCAUGUGGGCAGAUGAGUCGGGGGCUGUGUCUCCCCAGGGGUGGGAGCUGAGAAUCCCGGGCGUGUGGGUGAGCAGGCGUGGGGGAGCCGAGGCCCUCCCGUCUCCCUGGUGCCGGCUUUUCCCCGCAGAAGCCACUCGUGGCUCCCUCAGGCUCCCAGUAGCCACAGAAAUACGUGGAGUCUGUAAUGGCCAAGGGGGUGUAGGAGGCAUGAACGUAAUGGAAAGAACACUAGGCUGGUAGUGAGGAACCCUGAGUUCAAAUUCUGCUGAAAUAACUGAGACUCAGACGGGGUCACUGUCUUGUUUAAUGUCACACAGCAUAUGAGCUGGCAAGGGAGAUUUGAACUCAGACGGACUUCUGGGAUUAAAUGACACUCCUAAAAGCAAAGCGCAUCAAAAGAGCCCUCACUCUCAAGGGUCUCUGGGCCCCAACACCUCUGGCACCCCACUUGGGGGAGGGAAGGGCCUGGAUUUCUCACCGUCUCUUGCUCGGACUGUGCAGGAAAGGUCGAGUUUCUCGCGGACUGAGGGGAUGCAGACUGAGUUCCCACAGUGUUAAACAAGCAUCGCUGGGAAUUUUUAAGAACAGCUUUACAGAGGUACAGAUUUACAUAUCCUCACGUUCGACCAUUUCGAUGCAUGAUUCAAUGACGUCACUAACUUUACUGAAACGAGCGCUGUAACCGUCAACGUGGAUGAGACGUUUUUGUAACUUCAUAAAAAUUUUACAACCUGCUUGGCAAUUUCUGUAAAAAAAAAAAAAAAAAAAAAAAAAAAAGGCCUAAUGAAAUUUUGACGGGAAUUGCAUUGAAUCUAUUGAUCGGUUUGGGAAAACUGCUCUUUUAAUAAUGAGCCUUCCCGUCUGCGCACACGGACUGUGCCUGUGUUUCUUUAGAUCUUUGCUUUCCUUCUGCAGAGUUUAGUGAUGUUUCCUCCCCAGAUCUUGUACUUU
rnacentral:lncRNA from 1 species